rnacentral:lncRNA from 1 species
GUUGUAGUUAAAUUGAUGUAUAAAUGGUUGGCGACCUUUUUAUGAAAAUGUAGUACUUGAAUAUGUGGAGAUUACGGGUUUGCUAACCAAAUUAUUAUUGAGUAUGUUGAAAGUGCAGGUUUGUGAAUAUCGGACUUUCGAAGUGUCGAUAUAGUAAUGAAAUGAUUGAGUGUUGGAAGAUAUUCGGGUUGAAGUAACUUAAGCGGUUAGAAUAUACUAUGGACGUUUUAGUUUAUACAAUAUUUUAUGUUUGGUCGUCACCACCUACUAACAGGUUAGUUGUAUGAGAAUAUAUGUGAUACCCAUUUAAUUGGGAAAUCGAAUGCGUAAGAGAAAUGAGAGUAUGUACAUGAAUGGAAUUAAAAUGACGGUUUUAUAAGCAAACA